rnacentral:ncRNA from 2 species
UCACCGGACACGGGGUGCCCCGCGGGGGCUGAGAUCACACCCGUCGAACCUGAACCAGCUCGUACUGGCGGAGGGAUGUCUUCCAUGUCAUUG